rnacentral:rRNA from 1 species
GAAAGGGCGCACGGUGGAUGCCUUGACACUAGGAGUCGAUGAAGGACGGGACUAACGCCGAUAUGCUUCGGGGAGCUGUAAGUAAGCUUUGAUCCGAAGAUUUCCGAAUGGGGAAACCCACCAUACGUAAUGGUAUGGUAUCCUUAUCUGAAUACAUAGGGUAAGGAAGACAGACCCAGGAACUGAAACAUCUAAGUACCUGGAGGAAGAAAGCAAAUGCGAUUUCCUGAGUAGCGGCGAGCGAAACGGAACAUAGCCCAAACCAAGAGGCUUGCCUCUUGGGGUUGUAGGACAUUCUAUACGGAGUUACAAAGGAACGAGGUAGACGAAGCGACCUGGAAGGUCCGUCGUAGAGGUAACAACCCGUAGUCGAAACUUCUCUCUUGAAUGUAUCCUGAGUACGGCGGAACACGUGAAAUUCCGUCGGAAUCUGGGAGGACCAUCUCCCAAGGCUAAAUACUCCUAGUGAUCGAUAGUGAACCAGUACCGUGAGGAAGGUGAAAAGCACCCCGGAAGGGAGUGAAAGAUCCUGAAACCGUGUGCCUACAAAUAGUCAGAGCCCGUUAACGGGUGAUGGCGUGCCUUUGUAGAAUGAACCGGCGAGUUACGAUCCCGUGCGAGGUUAAGCUGAAGAGGCGGAGCCGCAGCGAAAGCGAGUCUGAAUAGGCGUUUAGUACGUGGUCGUAGACCCGAAACCAGGUGAUCUACCCAUGUCCAGGGUGAAGUUCAGGUAACACUGAAUGGAGGCCCGAACCCACGCACGUUGAAAAGUGCGGGGAUGAGUGUGGUAGCGGAGAAAUUCAAUCGAACCUGGAGAUAGCUGGUUCUCCCGAAAUAGCUUUAGGGCUAGCCUUAAGUGUAAGUCUUGGAGGUAGAGCACUGAUUGGACUAGGGGUCCUCAUCGGAUUACCGAAUUCAGUCAAACUCGAAUGCCAAUGACUUAUCCUUAGAGUCAGACUGCGAGUGAUAAGAUCCGUAGUCAAAGAAACAGCCCAGACCGCCAGCUAAGGUCCCAAAGUGUGUAUUAAGUGGAAAGGAUGUGGUUGCUUAGACAACUAGGAUGUUGGCUUAAGCAGCCACCAUUUAAAGUGCGUAAUAGCUCACUAGUCGAGUGACUCUGCGCCGAAAAUGUACCGGGCUAAAUACACCACCGAAGCUGCGGAUUGAUACCAAUGGUAUCAGUGGUAGGGGAGCGUUCUAAGGACAGUGAAGUCAGACCGGAAGGACUGGUGGAGUGCUUAGAAGUGAGAAUGCCGGUAUGAGUAGCGAAAGACGGGAGAAUCCGUCCACCGAAUGCCUAAGGUUUCCUGAGGAAGGCUCGUCCGCUCAGGGUUAGUCAGGACCUAAGCCGAGGCCGACAGGCGUAGGCGAUGGACAACAGGUUGAUAUUCCUGUACCACCUCUUUAUCGUUUGAGCAAUGGAGGGACGCAGAAGGAUAGAAGCGUGCGAUUGGUUGUGCACGUCAAGCAGUUAGGCUGAUAAGUAGGCAAAUCCGCUUAUCGUGAAGGCUGAGCUGUGAUGGGGAAGCUCCUUAUGGAGCGAAGUCUUUGAUUCCCCGCUGCCAAGAAAAGCUUCUAGCGAGAUAAAGGUGUAGAGAACUCUGGUUAAGGCAAAAUGACCCCGUAACUUCGGGAGAAGGGUGCUUUCGGAAAGCCGCAGUGAAUAGGCCCAAGCGACUGUUUAGCAAAAACACAGCUCUCUGCGAAGCCGUAAGGCGAAGUAUAGGGGGUGACACCUGCCCGGUGCUGGAAGGUUAAGGAGAGGGGUUAGCGUAAGCUCUGAACUGAAGCCCCAGUAAACGGCGGCCGUAACUAUAACGGUCCUAAGGUAGCGAAAUUCCUUGUCGGGUUCCGACCCGCACGAAAGGUGUAACGAUUUGGGCACUGUCUCAACCAGAGACUCGGUGAAAUUAUAGUACCUGUGAAGAUGCAGGUUACCCGCGACAGGACGGAAAGACCCGUGGAGCUUUACUGUAGCCUGAUAUUGAAUUUUGGUACAGUUUGUACAGGAUAGGCGGGAGCCAUUGAAACCGGCGCUAGCUUCGGUGGAGGCGCUGGUGGGAUACCGCCCUGACUGUAUUGAAAUUCUAACCUACGGGUCUUAUCGACCCGGGAGACAGUGUCAGGUGGGCAGUUUGACUGGGGCGGUCGCCUCCUAAAGUGUAACGGAGGCGCCCAAAGGUUCCCUCAGAAUGGUUGGAAAUCAUUCGUAGAGUGCAAAGGCAUAAGGGAGCUUGACUGCGAGACCUACAAGUCGAGCAGGGACGAAAGUCGGGCUUAGUGAUCCGGUGGUUCCGCAUGGAAGGGCCAUCGCUCAACGGAUAAAAGCUACCCGGGAUAACAGGCUUAUCUCCCCCAAGAGUCCACAUCGACGGGGAGGUUUGGCACCUCGAUGUCGGCUCAUCGCAUCCUGGGGCUGUAGUCGGUCCCAAGGGUUGGGCUGUUCGCCCAUUAAAGCGGUACGCGAGCUGGGUUCAGAACGUCGUGAGACAGUUCGGUCCCUAUCCGUCGUGGGCGUAGGAAAUUUGAGAGGAGCUGUCCUUAGUACGAGAGGACCGGGAUGGACGCACCGCUGGUGUACCAGUUGUUCUGCCAAGGGCAUAGCUGGGUAGCUAUGUGCGGAAGGGAUAAGUGCUGAAAGCAUCUAAGCAUGAAGCCCCCCUCAAGAUGAGAUUUCCCAUAGCGUAAGCUAGUAAGAUCCCUGAAAGAUGAUCAGGUUGAUAGGUUCGAGGUGGAAGCAUGGUGACAUGUGGAGCUGACGAAUACUAAUAGAUCGAGGGCUUAACCA